rnacentral:rRNA from 1 species
GAUGAACGCUGGCGGCGUGCCUAAUACAUGCAAGUCGAGCGAACAGACGAGGAGCUUGCUCCUCUGACGUUAGCGGCGGACGGGUGAGUAACACGUGGAUAACCUACCUAUAAGACUGGGAUAACUUCGGGAAACCGGAGCUAAUACCGGAUAAUAUAUUGAACCGCAUGGUUCAAUAGUGAAAGACGGUUUUGCUGUCACUUAUAGAUGGAUCCGCGCCGCAUUAGCUAGUUGGUAAGGUAACGGCUUACCAAGGCAACGAUGCGUAGCCGACCUGAGAGGAUGAUCGGCCACACAGGAACUGAGACACGGUCCAGAAUCCUACGGGAGGCACGAGAAGGGAAUCUUACGCAAUGGGCGAAAGCCUGACGGAGCAACACCGCGUGAGUGAUGAAGGUCUUCGGAUCGUAAACCUCUGUUAUUAGGGAAGAACAAAUGUGUAAGGAACUAUGCACGUCUGUACGGUACCUAAUCAGACAGCCACGGCUAACUACGUG